UACAACCCUGAGAUCAAGAGUCUCACACUCUUCUGAGCAAGUUUUGACAGUAUGGUUCUGCCACCAGCAACCACAUCUUCAGUGAAGAGAACUCCUCACAGAGGAGGGGCAAGUGGCUAGCCCUGCUUCACAAGGCAACUCUCAUAUAUUGCAGUGAAAAUGGGUUGCAUGCUUUAGAAAAUUCCACAGAACAUUCAAGGGAAAGACACUCACCUAAGCAAUCAAAGUAAAUGCUGAAUUGCA